GAUGAACGCUGGCGGCGUGCCUAAUACAUGCAAGUCGAGCGAACAGACGAGGAGCUUGCUCCUCUGACGUUAGCGGCGGACGGGUGAGUAACACGUGGAUAACCUACCUAUAAGACUGGGAUAACUUCGGGAAACCGGAGCUAAUACCGGAUAACAUGUUGAACCGCAUGGUUCAACAGUGAAAGACGGUCUUGCUGUCACUUAUAGAUGGAUCCGCGCCGCAUUAGCUAGUUGGUAAGGUAACGGCUUACCAAGGCAACGAUGCGUAGCCGACCUGAGAGGGUGAUCGGCCACACUGGAACUGAGACACGGUCCAGACUCCUACGGGAGGCAGCAGUAGGGAAUCUUCCGCAAUGGGCGAAAGCCUGACGGAGCAACGCCGCGUGAGUGAAGAAGGUCUUCGGAUCGUAAAACUCUGUUAUUAGGGAAGAACAAAUGUGUAAGUAACUAUGCAAGUCUUGACGGUACCAAUCAGAAAGCCACGGCUAACUACGUG
rnacentral:rRNA from 1 species